GACGAACGCUGGCGGCGUGCUUAACACAUGCAAGUCGAACGGAAAGGCCCUGCUUUUGUGGGGUGCUCGAGUGGCGAACGGGUGAGUAACACGUGAGUAACCUGCCCUUGACUUUGGGAUAACUUCAGGAAACUGGGGCUAAUACCGGAUAGGAGCUCCUGCUGCAUGGUGGGGGUUGGAAAGUUUCGGCGGUUGGGGAUGGACUCGCGGCUUAUCCGCUUGUUGGUGGGGUAGUGGCUUACCAAGGCUUUGACGGGUAGCCGGCCUGAGAGGGUGACCGGCCACAUGGGGACUGAGAUACGGCCCAGACUGCUACGGGAGGCAGCAGUGGGGAAUAUGGCAGAACAGGCGGAAGCCAGAUGCAGAAACGCCGCGUGCGGGAUGACGGCUUUCGGGUGGUAAACCGAUUUCGCCGGUGACGAAGCGUGAGUGACGGUAACGGGUAAAGAAGCACCGGCUAACUACGUG
rnacentral:rRNA from 1 species